AUGACGACCACACACCUAUAGAGGCCGCUGUCGCUCACAGUCACGUUUCUGAAGACACAUUCAAUGCGUCCUGUCUUAAAGAGUUCUUUAUUACAGGAAAACCGUCCUCUGUAAAUCUGGUCCACAUACUGUGACCUCUCUUCACCGCGUACAAAAAGAUAAACACCUCUUUCAGGUUCAUG